AUGGGCGAGUGUCCAAGCCCCCGUGCUGCCAGGAAGCUCCACAGCCAUCGGCAGGACCAGAAGUGGCACAAUAAGCAGUACAAGAAGGCACACUUGGGCACAGCCCUGGAGGCCAACUCCUCCAGGGGGUGAGUCCCACGCCAAGGGCAUUGUGCUGGAGAAAGUAGGGGCCAAAGCCAAACAGCCUAACUCUGCCAUCAGGAAGUGUGUCCUCGACCAGCUGACAAAGAGUAGCAGGAAGACCACAGCCUUCAUGCCCAAAGACAGCUGUUUGCACUUCAUUGAAGAGAAUGAUGAAGUUCUGGUUGCUGGAUUUGGUUGGAAAGGUCAUGCCAUUGGUGAUAUCCCUGGAGUCUGCUUUAAGGUGGUCAAAGUAGCUAAUGUCUCUCUUUUGGUCCUGUACAAAGGCAAGAAGGAAAAACCAAGAUCAUAAGUUGUGAUGCUGGAAACACUGCAGUAAUAAAUUUUCAUAUGC